GACUCUUCUCGCCCGGUUACUGCCACCUGGUUCUAAAUCAGCACGUCCCCAAAGUGCCUGAGUAUAAGAAGUGUCUGCCAGGCUGAUUGAAAGUGUAGAAUAACAGGUGAAGAAACUGAGGCACAGAGUUAGUUUAUUGCCCUAAUCACAAAGCUACAGGUGGAAGAGGAGGGUUUGAACUCAGAUUUCCUGAAUCCAAAUCUUGGUGAUGUUUAACCUAAGGUGUACUACAUCCUGAGAGCUAGCUGUCCUCAUACUCUAGAGUGGUAGAAGCCUCCCCGCUUAUCUCGGUCUCCUGCUGCCUCAUGCUGCUGCUUGAGUAGUGUGUACAGCUCCAUCAAGUGUUUCACAGUCAUGAACUGAUGCAGAGUUUACCGCUGCCCACCAGAGUCGGAGCCAUGCCUGACCAGGGCUCAGAGAAGGUGCCCACUUCUUCUCCCUGGAGGCAGCCAGUACUGUUAGUUGCCUGUAUAUUCCUCCAGAGAUGUUUUGUGCACAUAAAGAGAAAUCUCAUUGACCUAAGAUGGUUGGAGAAGGCCUUUCUGGAGAAUGAACAUUUUUGAUCAGAGUGGAGCAGAGAACAAGAUCCAGUUGGCUUGGCCAAACAUGAUUCUUUUCCAUUAUCGGUUAUUACAAGAUACUGAGAAAUCCGAUUUCUUGACCUCACAAUAUUCCCUUUUCUUCAAACAUCACCCCAGGCUCUCCACUCAGCUCUGGUGUCUGCCGAAUCUCUAAAGGAAUUUCAAGACAGACAGUUAGCACUGGGGAGCCCAGCUUGGGUUGGAUUCUGCCAGUUUUCCAGAGCCAGUUCUCAGCUAUUUCUGGCUUGAACAGACCCAGGAUCUUCCUGCUUCCACGGGAGCUGCCAUUCCAGGAGGGCCUCCUGGGCACUUCCAUGGGCAAUGUCACCCUCACAACACUGAGAAACGGGUCUCAUCGUUGCCAUUUUACAAACAUGGGAACAGAAGUGAAGUGACUUGCCCAGGUUCCUGUAGGCAGUAAGUGAGCGGCACCAGGGAGCCGUGGAAGCCUCCUCAGCUGGGGAGUGAUGUUUCUGCGUCAUCAAACAUUUAUGACAAGACGGAGCAACACAGAGUGACUUGGAAUGAAUUCAACAGACCAAUAUUUUGAAAUCAGGGUGGCUUGACUUCCUUUAGAGAGAACAGUUCUCCCAUCUCUUCGAGGCAUCAUCCAGAGGAGGAAGAACAGCAAGGUUCCCAGUCCCAGAGAGCACAACUCUGGUCACACGUUCCAUGAUCCCAGAUCAGUGAUCUUUGAUGUUACUGUUGCAAAAUGAUUACAACUGGGAGUUCCUGCUGUGGCACAGUGGUUAAGGAUCUGGCAUUUCCUCAGCUUCGGCUCGGAUUCGAUCCCUGGCCCGGGAACUUCCAUAUGCCAUGGGUGCAGCAGGGGAAAAAGAGAGUUACAACUUGCUGAAGGCUCAGAUGAUGACUCACCGACCAUGAAGUAGCUUAACAGUCUUCUUCGAAUAAGUGAGAAGGAAGCUCCAUGUACCGAAGAGAGAGCCCUCCAGACCUGUGGUCAGACCUCGUUUCUCCUAUGACCUUAGCCUCAAGAGGUUUAGAUGGAAGCCCUUGGGACCUUGACUGAAAUAGAGAGUGCGUUGGUGGCACGUGGUAAGUUGGACGGAGCUGAUUUGGCCACCACCCAGAGGAGUCCAAGGUCUGCCUGCUCUCCUGCUGAAGGGGAAAGCUCAUGUUGGCAAUGGCCAAGAAUUCCUCCAAAGAUUGAAAUUGCAGCUAGACCAGGAAAGUGAUCUGGCCGUAGGCGGAGUCCCCGCAGUAAAAGUGUUUCUGUAGCUGGGAGUUCACAGCUGCCGUAAAACCUAAAUGUCAGCAACUCCCGUGGUGUUGGAUCACGUGCUACCCCGCUUACAGCCAGCAGCCCUGACAUCGGGGCCAAGCAUCUCAGACACCAAGGCUCUACUGAGGAAGAAGUCAGCUGACCCAGGAUAAACCAAUCAGAAUCUCCCUAGAAGACACCCUCACACACAAGGGGAGAUGAAUUGCCAAGAUUGGAGGGACGAAGAUAUAUAUAAAACCCCUAGAACAGUCCCUGGCACAUACAUGCAGAAGUUUCUGGGCCAGGGAUCAACCUGGUGCCACAGCAGGAACCAGAGUACAGCAGUGACAACUCCAGAGCCACCAGGAAACGCCCACAUUAACCUUUAAUUGGAGAAGUAAUUCACAGAAUACAUGCUCCCUGUAAAAGAUUUUAAAAGAUAAAAUCUCCUAGAAUCUUCUAGAAUGCCUUAGAUUGGAGCUUAAUUAUCAAAAUGUAAUUCUGAAGUAUUCUAUCAGGUAAGAUGGCAGGAAUGUGUAUUCAUUCCUUAGCCCAUCCGUCUCUGUCUUCUGAGGAUCCAGCAUGGCUCCUGAUAUGGUGUCGAGUCAAUAAAUGUUGCUUAGGUGGUCUCCUUUGCACCAGCCACACCCUCAAGGGGCCUCAGCCCGAAACCUGAUUCCUUUAUGCAGCUGCCAACCACCAGCUCAGCUUUCCAGACAGUGCUCAAAUAUCCCCUCUUUUUGGAAGCCCUCCCUGGAGUCCAGGCUGAGUAAGGCAGCUUCUCUUCUGUGUCCCCAUGGCACCCUUAUUUAUUGGCUUGUCAUGCUUAUUGCAAUUUGGAAUUUGGUCACCUCUCCCCUGUUACACCAGGCAGUCUCGGGAAUUCAGUGGUGCCUGGCCUUUAGGCAUCACCUGAUCAGUGUUUGUGGACUGCUGACAGAACAACAAGCAUGUAGGCCUGGCAGUCUGUCAGCUUGGAGAGAGAGAGGGCCAGGUGUAUGCAGUAUUCUUCAUAUCGAGCUUAAUAGGAAACGGCUGUAAGAAAUUAGAUGGCUAGGGUGGCUCAGUGGUAACAAACCCAGGUUCAAUCCCUGGCCCAGUUCAGUGGGUUAAGGAUCCCACAUUGCCGUGAGCUGUGGUAUGGAUCACAGAUGUGGCUUGGAUCCAGGGUUGCUGUGGCUGUGGCGUAGGCCAGCAGCAACAGCUCUGAUUCAACCCCUAGCCUGGGAACUUCCAUAUGCCACAACUGCAGCCCUAAAAAGCAAAAGAAAGAAGAAAAAAAAAUUAGGUGGCUAAUAAUUGACCCUUGACAGUGAUUAUGAUGCUGAUAAAAAUGAUGAAUGAUUGGUAAGAAGGGUAAAUAGUAAACUCUCUCACACAUAAAAAUUUAGAACCACAUCAUUUCACCUCUUGGGAAAAUGUUUAUAACACUCUUCACUUCAAUAUUUCGCCAUGAAACCUAGAAGUUUCUUAGGCAAUUUAUCUUUUCAAAUGCAUCUCAGGGAAUGACAAACAGUAGCCAGAAAGCUGCUCAAAGAGUUCGAGUAUGGCAGCUCAUGGUCAUAAAUCUCUGGGUAGGAUCCUGAUUCUGAAAAGAAACACGAGAAAAGACUGAAAUAAAUCUACCAAGGUGUUAAUCAUGGCAGCACCACUGGAGUUAGGGUGAUGUGUGAUAUUCUUUUCUUCUUUUUACUUUUCUCAAAUCUUUCAGAUUAUACCAUGUAUGUAAAUUCAUUUUACACACACAAAAAAACAAACCAAAACCGAAAACAGACAUAAUCAAAAACAUUUCUAGCAAUUAAUGAAGUUGCUAAGGAGGCAAUUUUAAAUCAUCUAUAAUGGGUGGACAUCUAUGACAUGAGAAUAUAAUUCCAAGAAGGCUAACCUGAGCUAUCAGUUCAUUUGAUAUGAAUUGGGUACUACAACCAAAGACUGUGCUUGGGGCGGGGCUUAAAGUGCAAACAUCAGGUAUACUUCCUACCCUCAGGCAGUUCACAGACUACUGCUAGCCACAAACUCAAGCCACUAAUGGGAGCCAGGCAGCAAAGAGAAAGGAAUGAAAUCCUCCAACAGGCCCUCCUCUAAUAUUUGCUAACAUUUGCUGGCCUUGGAAAAAGUUAAAUGGAAAUCCAUUUACCAGAUGGAUUUAAAACAAGUUAACAAAUCGAAGUGGCUUCUAGUUGUCUACCUUGACACAUGUCCCUUUAUAAUGGCUCUUCUUCUCUUCCCGUGCCUGACUCCAUCACCCAAAGUAGGGAACUUUGUGCAGGUGGAUGGACAGACAUCCUGGCCACACAUUUAAGCUUCAGUCCCUCCCCUUCCCCAUCCCCAGCUUUCUCUUGGCCACUUCUCAGGCACGGGGUAUGUUCCCUAGUAUACGAUUUGCCCUUGGGAGAACUAACUGAGAAAUAAGUCUCUGCAGGCUCUGGAAACAGGCUUGGGUCACAUGGGCAGGGAAUUCCAAGGCCCAGCAGCAUGAUCUAGAAGAGGCAGUGCUGCAUCCAGGCUGCAUGGGGUCAAGGGCAGAGGCCCACUUUGCCUGAAUCUUAGGGAAGCACUAUCCCCUGGGAGGGUUGGGACUCUGGUGUGUGCUGGAGAAUAAAUGCCCCAAGUUACAACAACAGCGGCUACUCAGCUCCAUCCAUGUGGGGACAUGGAUUCGGAGGGCCACAUCUUCUACUUUAUUUUAUUUAUUUACUUUCUUUUUAUAGCCACACCUGCAGCAUAUGGAAGUUUCCAGGCUAGGGAGUGAGUGGGAAUUAGAGCUGCCUACCUAUGCCACAGCCACAGCAACGCCAGAUCCAAGCCGCAUCUUCGACCCAUACCACAGCUCACAGCAAUGCCAGAUACUGAACACACUGAAUGAGGCGAAGGAUGGAACCUACAUCCUCAUGGAAAAUAUAUAUCAGGUUCUUAACCUUGAGCCACAGCGGGAACUCCCACAUCUUCCACUUUUUAAAGAGAGGACACAAACCUGGGCUUUCUUAUGGAAUUGCAUCAUUUUUACAUGUAAGCAAGGAAUAACAAUAAUUUUAAAACCAAAGAAUCAUUCUGCUGGGCAAAUUGAAAAUAUCCGUGAACCACUGUGACCUCUAUGAAAGGAAAGAAAUUUAAAAUCCCAUUUACAUGUUGCUUGACCACUGUUUGGUUUUGAAAAUGAUAUUCACCAAUUCAUUAAUGUCACUUAAGCCCAUAAGUAAGUGAUACAUCUCCGUAGCUAUAUAUAUGUCUGAACUUCAUGCACUUUCUGUUCCGCAGCAGAAAUCUAAUUUACUUGGUACUCCUAGUACUGAUGUAUGUCCCCAUAAGCUAUCAGGAAAGACCUGGUUUUUGGAUCUGCACAUUUUUCUUCCUGGACGUUGACUUUCCUCAUGUCCUCCUCUGGCCUACCGUAAUAACCUGGGCACAUACCUCUCGCUGCAUUUCCCAUAUUGUGCUAUCUUUAGCUCUAUACAUGUUUGUCACUUCAAGAAUUAUCUCCAGGAGUUCCCGUCGUGGCGCAGCAGAAACGAAUCCGACUAGGAACCAUGAGGUUGCAGGUUCGAUCCCUGCCCUCACUCAGUGGGUUAAGGAUCUGGCGUUGCCGUGAGCUGUGGGGUAGGUUGCAGACGUGGCUCAGAUCCCACGUUGCUGUGGCUCUGGUGUAGGCUGGCAGCUGUAGCUCCAAUUCGACCCCUAGCCUGCAAACCUCCAUAUGCCAUGAGUGUGGCCCUAAAGAGCAAAAAAAAAAAAAAAAAAA
rnacentral:lncRNA from 1 species